AGGUCUUUCAAAGGUUGUAAUGUGGCUUAGGUUACAAGAAAGGAUAUGAUUAAGAGAAUUCAUCAAAGUUGUCUAUCCUAAGGGAGCAUUCCCAAACAUUCAACUCUACACAAUUUCCAUUUCUUUGAUCCCUAUCUUUUUCUUUUUCUUUUCACAUCCACACAACCAUGAGCAUUUUCUUUGCUUUUUUCUUUCUUUUCUU
rnacentral:lncRNA from 1 species